rnacentral:rRNA from 1 species
AGACCCGAAACCCGGUGAUCUAGCCAUGGGCAGGUUGAAGGUUGGGUAACACUAACUGGAGGACCGAACCGACUAAUGUUGAAAAAUUAGCGGAUGACCUGUGGCUGGGGGUGAAAGGCCAAUCAAACCGGGAGAUAGCUGGUUCUCCCCGAAAGCUAUUUAGGUAGCGCCUCGUGAACUCAUCUCCGGGGGUAGAGCACUGUUUCGGCUAGGGGGCCAUCCCGGCUUACCAACCCGAUGCAAACUGCGAAUACCGGAGAAUGUUAUCACGGGAGACACACGGCGGGUGCUAACGUCCGUCGUGAAGAGGGAAACAACCCAGACCGCCAGCUAAGGUCCCAAAGUCAUGGUUAAGUGGGAAACGAUGUGGGAAGGCCCAGACAGCCAGGAUGUUGGCUUAGAAGCAGCCAUCAUUUAAAGAAAGCGUAAUAGCUCACUGGUCGAGUCGGCCUGCGCGGAAGAUGUAACGGGGCUAAACCAUGCACCGAAGCUGCGGCAGCGACACUUUAGUGUUGUUGGGUAGGGGAGCGUUCUGUAAGCCGUUGAAGGUGUCCUGUGAGGGGUGCUGGAGGUAUCAGAAGUGCGAAUGCUGACAUAAGUAACGAUAAAGCGGGUGAAAAGCCCGCUCGCCGGAAGACCAAGGGUUCCUGUCCAACGUUAAUCGGGGCAGGGUGAGUCGACCCCUAAGGCGAGGCCGAAAGGCGUAGUCGAUGGGAAACGGGUUAAUAUUCCCGUACUUGGUGUUACUGCGAAGGGGGGACGGAGAAGGCUAUGUUGGCCGGGCGACGGUUGUCCCGGUUUAAGCGUGUAGGUGUGUGUUCCAGGUAAAUCCGGUUCACUUUAAC